rnacentral:rRNA from 1 species
UGGGGAAUAUUGGACAAUGGGCGCAAGCCUGAUCCAACAAUGCCGCGUGUGUGAAGAAGGCCUUCGGGUUGUAAAGCACUUUUAUCAGGAGCGAAACGCUGUCGGCUAAUACCCGGCGGAACUGACGGUACCUGAGGAAUAAGCACCGGCUAACUUCGUGCCAGCAGCCGCGGUAAUACGAAGGGUGCAAGCGUUAAUCGGAAUUACUGGGCGUAAAGCGUGCGUAGGCGGUUUCUUAAGUCUGCUGUGAAAUCCCCGGGCUCAACCUGGGAAUGGCAGUGGAUACUGGGAGGCUAGAGUGUGUCAGAGGGUGGUGGAAUUCCCGGUGUAGCGGUGAAAUGCGUAGAGAUCGGGAGGAACAUCAGUGGCGAAGGCGGCCACCUGGGACAACACUGACGCUGAGGCACGAAAGCGUGGGGAGCAAACAGGAUUAGAUACCCUGGUAGUCCACGCCCUAAACGAUGCGAACUGGAUGUUGGUCUCAACUCGGAGAUCAGUGUCGAAGCUAACGCGUUAAGUUCGCCGCCUGGGGAGUGCGGUCGCAAGACUG